rnacentral:tRNA from 1 species
GGCUCUGUGGCGCAAUGGAUAGGGCAUUGGACUUCUAGCUUGAGCUCUGGUGUGGUCACUCAAAGGUUGUGGGUUCGAGUCCCACCAGGGUCG